rnacentral:lncRNA from 1 species
UAACUGUAGGCAUGGACAUGGGGGCUGAACACAGAGAGGGUCAUGGUUAUGGCGCUCAAAUUGGGGAGACAUGACCUCACCUGGGGCACGCUAGAGAGAGUAAGGCACAUACUUACAGGCAGAAUUUGAGGGCCUCAGCAGGACACUAGGAAAUUGUCUUUGCUAUGCUGGAUUGAAAGUGUGAAUUCCUUUGCCCUCCUUCUUUCUGCCUUUUGACAGUUGAAGGAGACUGGUUGCUCCUUGCUCUGCCCUAGGGGGAGUUCCUUGCCACCCUGUUUCUGUAUUGUUACCAUCAGUGUUUUUAGCGUUUGCCUCUUUGGCCCCAGCUGUCUUGGUUUGUCCCUAGGAUGGAGGUUUGCAGACAGACUCUUCUGGGAUCAGCACGGAAGAGAUGCCAUAUCCCACCCCAAACAAGCGCAGCUGAAUCCUAAGCAGUAAGUGCUCUGGGUUAGUUGCAGCUCUGAUACAUUCUCUCCCAGGAUCCAGGCUUGAGGAGGAAAAGAGAAACAAUGAUGGUGACUCCUGGCCCUAAACAAGGAGUCCAUUUCAAAGCAGAGUUUUGCAGAAGUCCACCACCCAGUGAGGGAGGAAGCCCUUUGAGGAAUCACAGCUUACAGUGCUUCAAGCCAAGCAGAGUAUCUCUCUGAUAAAGGGACCUAAGACACUUGGGAGAAUUUGCCCUGAAGUUCACUUCUGUGACUGCUCUGGGAGUGGGAAAUUCUCCCUUCACCUUGUGUACAAUUUCAGCUUGUAAUAAACUAAUCUAAAAGAAGCA